CCGGAUUCUAGGCUAGUAUAUAUAUAGCGGUCGUUCAACAGUAGUAAUAUUCAACGAUUACUGCAUCUUAGAAAACGUAGAAAAGAGGAAUACGGACGAAGAACAGAAUCUAAAUCAAAUAACAAAAUGCCGCACAGUCGACUUGUGAUAUACAUGGCAGUGUUUCUUGUUUUGGCUCAACUUGUUGAAAUAUCAUCCGCCAAGCGUUUAAAACUUUGUCGGUUAAACCGAAGAACAAACACGUGCCAUGACGUCAAUUUUCGUAGGAUUGGGCCGAUCCGGUACAAGAAAAGUCUAUGCGAGAUUGCGGGAGGGCGCUGCACAUUAUUCAAAGGACGCAUUAGAACAAGGUGUUUUUGUAACAGUAGAAGUGAUGUUUAAAAUAAGAAGGAAAAAACACAUGCUUGUUGAUCUCAUAAGACAAAGCAGAUCCAUGUCUAGAUCCAGGUAUAAAUGCAAAAGUAGUUCUCGAGGAAAUAGACUGAAGUGAUUGAUUCAUAAUGACGCCUAAAUAGCUACUCACAGGUCAUCAUACCAUCAACUAGAUCUAUGUUGAAUAUUGUUGACCUUGCAACGCGGUUCAAACGCAUACUAGUAUUAGAAAGUACUAUUGCGUGGUGGAUAAAAUUCUUAAUUUGACAGUCCAAAAAUAAAGAAAAAGAAGAGAAAAAGAUAUUUUGCUGAACUGAAUAUUAUGCAAUAACCUAUAGGUUGUGUUUUAUCAAAUGUUGAUAUAUUAAUGCCUUUGUUACUUUUAUUAUUUAGUUGAAUGAUCUAUCAUUCAAAAUGCCGCAUUUCAUUAUUUUGGAAAACUAGUGUUCAAUAGCAUGCAGUAUGUAAUGGCCAGUUUAUCAAUACUCACAAUAAUGGACAUAUGAGAUUUUCUUUUGUAAGUAGUGUAAUUUUACGUAAAUCGUCUGUGACUUUUUCACAUGGGUGUAUCUAAGGUUCUCCUCCUUUCUUAUGAUAUAAAAAUGUAUAUGACCCUUUUCUUCCUAUUUUUCUAUUUUAAGACUUAGGAAAUCUUAUUUCCCCAGAGCUGUUUUUAAUAGAUCGAAAGAGAACUUUUUGUAGCUGAAAAACAAGAUUCUUUUUUUUUUAAAGUCUGAUGAAUAUUCGUGCUCACCACUUCCACUCUCUGUCCAGUGUAAGACCAGUUGCUGAAGUUUUAUAAUAAAUAAUGUGUCCAAAAAAUACAUUUUUAUCUUUUUAUUUAGCUACAAAGUCUUUUCCAGAAUUUAUCAUAUAGGAUGUAGUAUAUAGACGGACAAAUGUCACAACUUUAAUAUACCAUAGCGAAAACGUGAAAAAUACUUGUCUCCCUUUCUGUUUUUAUAUGAGUACAUUUUUUCUGGUCGUGUUUUAUUUAUGAUAAAUCAUAUGUAAACCAGAUGUAAGUAAGAUUCAAGAAUCCACGGAAAAGGAAAGCUGUCAUCAUCAUCAUCACGUCUGCUGCGAGUGUGCUUGGUUGCGGCAUAUACUUCCAAAAGCGUUAUUAUGUUAUAGAAAAUAUCACGCAUUUGCAAAAGUACAUUUGUAUUGUCUUAAUUAAGCAGAUUUCGCUGAUACAUUGUUUGUACAAUUCAUGUCACAAAUUAUUAUGUCUAGUUUUGUUUCAGUUGUGGUAAAUAAAACAGGGUAUACUAUGAA